rnacentral:rRNA from 1 species
AUACGGAGGGUCCGAGCGUUAAUCGGAAUUACUGGGCGUAAAGCGCGCGUAGGUGGAUGUAUAAGUCAGAUGUGAAAGCCCUGGGCUCAACCUAGGAACUGCAUUUGAAACUGUACGUCUAGAGUAUGGUAGAGGUGAGUGGAAUUUCAGGUGUAGCGGUGAAAUGCGUAGAGAUCUGAAGGAACAUCAGUGGCGAAGGCGACUCACUGGGCCAUUACUGACACUGAGGUGCGAAAGCGUGGGUAGCAAACAGGAUUAGAUACCCCAGUAGUCC